GUGAACGCUGGCGGUAGGCCUAACACAUGCAAGUCGAACGGCAGCACAGUAAGAGCUUGCUCUUACGGGUGGCGAGUGGCGGACGGGUGAGGAAUACAUCGGAAUCUACUUUUUCGUGGGGGAUAACGUAGGGAAACUUACGCUAAUACCGCAUACGACCUACGGGUGAAAGCAGGGGAUCUUCGGACCUUGCGCGAUUGAAUGAGCCGAUGUCGGAUUAGCUAGUUGGCGGGGUAAAGGCCCACCAAGGCGACGAUCCGUAGCUGGUCUGAGAGGAUGAUCAGCCACACUGGAACUGAGACACGGUCCAGACUCCUACGGGAGGCAGCAGUGGGGAAUAUUGGACAAUGGGCGCAAGCCUGAUCCAGCCAUACCGCGUGGGUGAAGAAGGCCUUCGGGUUGUAAAGCCCUUUUGUUGGGAAAGAAAAGCAGCAGAUUAAUACCCCGCUGUUCUGACGGUACCCAAAGAAUAAGCACCGGCUAACUUCGUG
rnacentral:rRNA from 1 species